rnacentral:rRNA from 1 species
CCUACGGGAGGCUGCAGUGGGGAAUAUUGGACAAUGGGCGAAAGCCUGAUCCAGCCAUGCCGCGUGUGUGAAGAAGGCCUUCGGGUUGUAAAGCACUUUCAGUGGGGAAGAAAGCCUUGGGGCUAAUACCCUCGAGGAAGGACAUCACCCACAGAAGAAGCACCGGCUAACUCCGUGCCAGCAGCCGCGGUAAUACGGAGGGUGCGAGCGUUAAUCGGAAUUACUGGGCGUAAAGCGCGCGUAGGCGGUCUGAUAAGCCGGUUGUGAAAGCCCCGGGCUCAACCUGGGAACGGCAUCCGGAACUGGCAGGCUAGAGUGCAGGAGAGGAAGGUAGAAUUCCCGGUGUAGCAGUGAAAUGCGUAGAGAUCGGGAGGAAUACCAGUGGCGAAGGCGGCCUUCUGGACUGACACUGACGCUGAGGUGCGAAAGCGUGGGUAGCAAACAGGAUUAGAUACCCCGGUAGUC